rnacentral:rRNA from 1 species
AGAGUUUGAUCCUGGCUCAGAUUGAACGCUGGCGGAAUGUCUUUACACAUGCAAGUCGAACGGCAGCACGGACUUCGGUCUGGUGGCGAGUGGCGAACGGGUGAGUAACAUAUCGGAACGUAUCCAAUAAUGGGGGAUAACUAAUCGAAAGGUUGGCUAAUACCGCAUACGCCCUACGGGGGAAAGCUAGGGACCUUCGGGCCUGGCGUUAAUGGAGCGGCCGAUAUCUGAUUAGCUAGUUGGUGAGGUAAAGGCUCACCAAGGCGACGAUCAGUAGCUGGUCUGAGAGGACGACCAGCCACACUGGAACUGAGACACGGUCCAGACUCCUACGGGAGGCAGCAGUGGGGAAUUUUGGACAAUGGGCGCAAGCCUGAUCCAGCCAUUCCGCGUGAGUGAAGAAGGCCUUCGGGUUGUAAAGCUCUUUCGCAAGGGAAGAAAACUUAUCCUCUAACAUAGGAUGAGGUUGACGGUACCUUGAUAAGAAGCACCGGCUAACUACGUGCCAGCAGCCGCGGUAAUACGUAGGGUGCGAGCGUUAAUCGGAAUUACUGGGCGUAAAGCGUGCGCAGGCGGUUUU